GGCACGGGAAUCUAGAGAGAGAAAACGUAAGGGAAAAAAAUUCUUUUUUGUCAAGAAAGUAGAAGAAGCCAAUCAAUCGCAACAAAUGCCUUGAUUAAAGAGAAAGAAAAGAAUAAAUGGCGACUAUUCUUACAGAGUGAGACUCUAACACAUAUUCUAUUAUGGUAAAUCACAUCACAUAUGUAUUAUUAGCGUUAGCCCUGAACAACAACUCCGAAUAUUAGCUCAAUCAAACUCAACAAACUUACAUUUUUGCUUUUGCUUUUGAUUUGAAAGAUUAAAAAAAUGAAAUUUAAACACAGUGAUCAGACUCUGUGCAAUAGCAACCCAAUUGCCAAAGUUGUUUUCCAAUGCGAAAUAAAAGCCCGAUAAUUACGGAAAGAAAAUCCUAACAGAAAUCUUAAAAAUAGCCUAAAAUCCCUAAAAUCAUAAAAGCAAUUAGAAGACAAAAUGGGCAAAAAGAUCAAAGCUUUUAGAUUCAAAAUCAGUAUGAGCAGAGUUGAGAAUCAAAGUGCAUUUAAAACAAAAAGAAAAAUGUGUUUACAGCAAACAUAAACAACUCACAAAAAGCUGCACUUUUCACGGAGAGAAAAAUCUAGCAUGAGAAAGAGAAUACAGAGAGAAUUAUAUUCUACUACCAAUUGAAGGAAGCUAAAAAGGGGAAUUUUAAAUUCCAAAAAAAAAGAGCAUUGGAAUGAGCCAGGUCGGAGAAAGGAGGCAAAAAGUUGAGACCCAAAAAAGUAAUCGUGUACUCUGAAGGACUGAACAGAAGAAGUACCAUCCAAAAACAACUCAUGCGAAGAUGGAAACAGAGAAAAGGAAGUUACAUGAGCUGAGGCAUUAUGGAGAGAGAAAGUGAAGAAAGAGAGAUAGAGGAGCGGGACUGGGGACCUGGUGACCGGAAUCUGACAUU
rnacentral:misc_RNA from 1 species